rnacentral:rRNA from 1 species
CCUACGGGGGGCAGCAGUGGAGAAUAUUGGACAAUGGGGGCAACCCUGAUCCAGCCAUGCCGCGUGUGUGAAGAAGGCCCUCGGGUUGUAAAGCACUUUCAGUGAGGAAGAACGCCUGGUGGUUAAUACCCAUCAGGAAAGACAUCACUCACAGAAGAAGCACCGGCUAACUCCGUGCCAGCAGCCGCGGUAAUACGGAGGGUGCGAGCGUUAAUCGGAAUUACUGGGCGUAAAGCGCGCGUAGGUGGCUUGAUAAGCCGGUUGUGAAAGCCCCGGGCUCAACCUGGGAACGGCAUCCGGAACUGUCAAGCUAGAGUGCAGGAGAGGAAGGUAGAAUUCCCGGUGUAGCGGUGAAAUGCGUAGAGAUCGGGAGGAAUACCAGUGGCGAAGGCGGCCUUCUGGACUGACACUGACACUGAGGUGCGAAAGCGUGGGUAGCAAACAGGAUUAGAUACCCCUGUAGUC